rnacentral:rRNA from 1 species
AACGAACGCUGGCGGCAUGCCUAACACAUGCAAGUCGAACGAGACCUUCGGGUCUAGUGGCGCACGGGUGCGUAACGCGUGGGAAUCUGCCCCUCGGUUCGGAAUAACACAGAGAAAUUUGUGCUAAUACCGGAUGAUGACUUCGGUCCAAAGAUUUAUCGCCGAGGGAUGAGCCCGCGUAAGAUUAGCUUGUUGGUGGGGUAAAUGGCCUACCAAGGCGACGAUUUUUUAGCUGGUCUGAGAGGAUGAUCAGCCACACUGGGACUGAGACACGGCCCAGACUCCUACGGGAGGCAGCAGUGGGGAAUAUUGGGCAAUGGGCAAAGCCUGAUCCAGCAAUGCCGCGUGAAGUGAUGAAGGCCUUAGGGUUGUAAAGCUCUUUCAGUCGGAAGAACGAUUGCAA